AGAUCUUACAAAGUGUGCUUGCCUCUGCCUCCCAAGCGCUGGGAUUAAAGGCAUAUGCCACCAUGCCUGGGCAAGUUACUUUUACUGUGGUGUUUUAUCUUUGGUUAUUGAUGAGCACAAGAAGCUCCACUUUGUGCUUAGUCUAUGAAAGUAGUUGUCUUUUACAAGAGAAAGACUGAGAAAUACUUGGUGUUGCAUUUUCUAAAAACAAUGCAAAGAUGAGAUCAACGAGAGAUAAGAAUACUGAGAGUUUCAGGUACUAGACACAUGGAGGACACCAUGGUCACACGAUUCUUAUUACUGAAGCGUCGGGUUACUUUAAAUCCAUGGACUGUUUGUGCUUUGAAAUUCCAGUACUGUUGCCAUUGAUAACCCCCUUUUGUCCCAUGUCCUAUCUUGGAGGAUUUCACUCAUGUUAGAACUUUAAAAAGCAGACACCAUGCAGGGCCCCCCCAGAAUACGUGUCCUGCUGGGAUAACUUGCUUCUUAUAUGUCAGCAUUAUGCUUUAUGGAAUGGAGCCAAUAUGAAAAUGUCCUUUUAAGGGCAUAGCUUCUGUUUAUUGAGUUUUGGUGUCUACAAUUUGCUGCACUGUGAUAAUCUACAUGUCAUCUUAUUCAAGCUUUAGAUCAGCUUCAUGAUGUUUUACAAGAAACUGGAGUUCAGAGAGGCUAAGUAAUUUGGCCAGUUAUAUACAAGACAGAACUAAGCCAAACACUUGACUUACGAACACAUACAAAGCUGGUUAGUCCUACAGGUGUAAAUGAACUGUUUAUAGUGAUGUUUAAAGUUCUUAGUGGAGCACACCAGAGCUUCCUCUUGGCUCUGAUGAGACUCUAAGCUGUGGGUGUCUAGGCAAGGUUUGUUCCUCUGCUGCUGGUGAUAGAACCCAGCGCCUUCUGUGCGUUCUGCCACGCUGGUUAUUUUUACAUCGGUGUGAGUUUCACUUAGUGUUUCCUAAGCCUAUACCUCUUCAUCAACCAGAUGCUGGAAAUCUAAAGUCCUAGGGCCUGGGAAAGGGAGUUUGUCAGUGAGGGUGCAGUUUUCAUUGAGAGGUGAUAGACGUUGUGAUAAAUGUCAGUUGUUUUCUGUAGCCUUUGCUCAUGGCUUUACCUGGCAUGGAAAAUAUUUAUUCAGACUUGGAAAGUGUUGUACGUUGUGUUGUACACAACCGACUGUUGUACAGUAUUGUUAUUGUCACUUAUGCAGCUGUAUUUGAACGAAUCCAUUUAAGACUGGUGCUGUGCAAUAUAGUUCCUAGAUGUGGUCCAGGGAAGAGAACUGAGCCUGUCUUUUAAAAUGUUAAUGCAGCUUACCGAAGUGGAGCCCCUCCCAGACACCUCUCUCAUUUGGGCUCUUCUUACUCCAAUCCCAAUGGAACAGUUCCUAACUGAUUGUGUAUAAGGUGGGGUAGGAGGGUCUACUGUGGUCAAUCAUGACUGUCCCUCUGCAGGGAGAGUCUUACCUUCUUACAGUCUAAAGCUGCUUCCUUUCCUUGAGUUUGUUGUACUUUGUUUUUGUAAAUGUUGUGAAUUCUACAUACGUUUGUAAAGAGAAUUGUUCAACAUUUCUAUCAAAUGUUUACAGAUCUUUUAAUGAAUAAAGACAUUUUAA
rnacentral:lncRNA from 1 species